UCGAUGAAGAACGCAGCGAAAUGCGAUACGUAGUGUGAAUUGCAGAAUUCCGUGAAUCAUCGAGUCUUUGAACGCAAGUUGCGCCCGAGGCUUGUCCUCGGGCAUUUCUGCCUGAGCGUCAUC
rnacentral:rRNA from 1 species